rnacentral:lncRNA from 1 species
CCGGCCUGCCACUAAAGUGGCUUUUGCGAUUACUUUUUCCAGGUUGAUGAGCCACUAUAGUGGCUUACUCGAAUAGCUUACUAAAUCACCGUUUGAAUUAAAUAAUCGUCUUCAUAGUCAUUCAUAUUUAAGUGAAAUGUUAAAGUUUUAGUAUGUAAAAUACAAAUACGAUUACAACAGAUAAUACAAAAUGAGGAGUUAAUAAAGAAGAAAAUAGCAUUGAUAUGAAAAUAAUUGAAUCAUCGUUUUCUCUAAAAUGCUGGAUGGAGCCCUAAUUUGACGUUCAAAAUCAGCGUCAAGCGUUACCAUGGGGUUGCUCCCUAAUAGGAGUUUAGAAAAAUCUUCUUCCAAGAGAUGCAUAUGCUCUACUGCUAUUAUAAAUUCCUGUUAAAAAUUAAAGUAUUAAACAAAA